ensembl:rRNA 5S_rRNA 5S ribosomal RNA
UGUAUUGGCCACUGCUCACCCUGCAGCCCAAGACUGGUUACUUACUGAUGCUAAGAAGGGUUGAACCUGGUUAGUACCUGGAUGGGAGACCAAAUGGGAAAACUAGGUUGUUGUUGCAA